rfam:Oryza barthii chromosome 10, whole genome shotgun sequence.
AAUAAGCGUAGCCAUGAGUUUUUGUGUUCAACUUUGAUCAUUCGUCUUAUUUGAAAUUAUUUUAUGAUUAUAUUUUUAUUGUUGCUAGAUUAUAAAACAUGAAAACUCCCUCUAUCCCAUAAUAUAAGACGCGAUCAAAGUUGGCACGGUCUCUAAAA